AUUGAACGCUGGCGGCAGGCCUAACACAUGCAAGUCGAGCGAGCGGCGGACGGGUGAGUAAUGUCUGGGAAACUGCCAGAUGGAGGGGGAUAACUACUGGAAACGGUAGCUAAUACCGCAUACCAUCAGAUGUGCCCAGAUGGGAUUAGCGGGUAGGUGGGGUAAAGGCUCACCGAGGCGACGAUCCCUAGAUGGUCUGUGAGGAUGACCAGCCAAACUGGAACUGAGACACGGUCCAGACUCACACGGGAGGCAGCAGUGGGGAAUAUUGCACAAUGGGCGCAAGCCUGAUGCAGCCAUGCCGCGUGUGUGAAGAAGGUCGUCGGGUUGUAAAGAACUUUCAGCGGGGCGGCGUUACCCGCAGAAGAAGCACCGGCUAACUCCGCGCCAGAAGCAGCGGUAAUAC
rnacentral:rRNA from 1 species